UACGUAGGGGGCGAGCGUUGUCCGGAUUUAUUGGGCGUAAAGGGUGCGUAGGCGGCGGGGUAAGUCAGGUGUGAAAUCUCGGGGCUCAACCCCGAAACUGCACUUGAUACUGCCUCGCUUGAGUACUGGAGAGGAGACUGGAAUUUACGGUGUAGCAGUGAAAUGCGUAGAUAUCGUAAGGAAGACCAGUGGCGAAGGCGAGUCUCUGGACAGUUACUGACGCUGAGGCACAAAGGCCAGGGGAGCAAACGGG
rnacentral:rRNA from 1 species